UACAGAGGUCUCAAGCGUUUGUUCGGAUUCAUUGGGCGUAAAGGGUGCGUAGGCGGCGCGGUAAGUCGGGUGUGAAAUCUCGGGGCUUAACUCCGAAACUGCAUUCGAUACUGCCGUGCUUGAGGACUGGAGAGGAGACUGGAAUUUACGGUGGUAGCGGUGAAAUGCGUAGAUAUCGAUAAGGAAGACCAGUGGCGAAGGCGG
rnacentral:rRNA from 1 species